UACGUAGGGUGCGAGCGUUAAUCGGAAUUACUGGGCGUAAAGCGUGCGCAGGCGGUUUUGUAAGCCAGAUGUGAAAUCCCCGGGCUUAACCUGGGAAUGGCAUUUGGGACUGCAAGGCUGGAGUUUGGCAGAGGAGACUGGAAUUCCUGGUGUAGCAGUGAAAUGCGUAGAUAUCAGGAAGAACAUCGGUGGCGAAGGCGCUCUGCUGGACCAUAACUGACACUCAGGGACGAAAGCUAGGGGAGCGAAUGGG
rnacentral:rRNA from 1 species